GAUGAACGCUAGCGGCAGGCUUAACACAUGCAAGUCGAGGGGUAUAGUUCUUCGGAGCUAGAGACCGGCGCACGGGUGCGUAACGCGUAUGCAAUCUACCUUUUGCAGAGGGAUAGCCCAGAGAAAUUUGGAUUAAUACCUCAUAGUAUGUGAGAAUGGCAUCAUUUUCACAUUAAAGUCACAACGGCAAAAGAUGAGCAUGCGUCCCAUUAGCUUGUUGGUAAGGUAACGGCUUACCAAGGCAACGAUGGGUAGGGGUCCUGAGAGGGAGAUCCCCCACGCUGGUACCGAGACACGGACCAGACUCCUACGGGAGGCAGCAGUGAGGAAUAUUGGACAAUGGGCGCAAGCCUGAUCCAGCCAUGCCGCGUGCAGGAUGACGGUCCUAUGGAUCGUAAACUGCUUUUGUACAGGAAGAAACACUGGUUCGUGAACCAGCUUGACGGUACUGUAAGAAUAAGGAUCGGCUAACUCCGUGCCAGCCGCCGCGGUAAAAC
rnacentral:rRNA from 1 species